rfam:Gossypium raimondii Chr05_contig_740, whole genome shotgun sequence.
AUACCAUGGUGAGGGCAUCUUUGCACCAGCAACUUAAAUCACUCUCAAGCUUCGUGAAAACUUCCUCCUUCCAUCUGUUUAAAUGUUGCGAUCUCUCUUCUCAGUUG